rfam:Kangiella koreensis DSM 16069, complete genome.
UAUUGGGCUGAGUAGUCCGAAUGUCAUAGCAAUUCGAAUCUUGGAUGAUUCGAAUAAUGAAAUUCAGGCCAUGGAUGGACUGUAUUUCAUGGUGCGUUAAGUGACUUGAGGACUACGAAGGAAGUCA